AUUGAACGCUGGCGGCAGGCCUAACACAUGCAAGUCGAGCGGAUGAAGGGAGCUUGCUCCUGGAUUCAGCGGCGGACGGGUGAGUAAUGCCUAGGAAUCUGCCUGGUAGUGGGGGAUAACGUCCAGAAACGGGCGCCAAUACCGCAUACGUCCUGAGGGAGAAAGUGGGGGAUCUUCGGACCUCACGCUAUCAGAUGAGCCUAGGUCGGAUUAGCUAGUUGGUGGGGUAAAGGCCUACCAAGGCGACGAUCCGUAACUGGUCUGAGAGGAUGAUCAGUCACACUGGAACUGAGACACGGUCCAGACUCCUACGGGAGGCAGCAGUGGGGAAUAUUGGACAAUGGGCGAAAGCCUGAUCCAGCCAUGCCGCGUGUGUGAAGAAGGUCUUCGGAUUGUAAAGCACUUUAAGUUGGGAGGAAGGGCAGUAAGUUAAUACCUUGCUGUUUUGACGUUACCAACAGAAUAAGCACCGGCUAACUUCGUG
rnacentral:rRNA from 1 species